UACGGCUACAUCACGUUAAAACACCGGUUCGUCUACGAUCACCGAAGUUAAGCAAAGUUAAGCUUGGUCAGUACCCAGAUGAGUGACCACUUGGGAAUGCCAAGUGCUGUAA